UACGUAGGGGGCAAGCGUUGUCCGGAUUUAUUGGGCGUAAAGAGCGUGUAGGCGGCCAGGUAGGUCCGUUGUGAAAACUCGAGGCUCAACCUCGAGACGUCGAUGGAAACCAUCUGGCUAGAGUCCGGAAGAGGAGAGUGGAAUUCCUGGUGUAGCGGUGAAAUUUCGUAGAUAUUCGGAAGAACACCAGUGGCGAAGGCGACUCGCUGGACAAGUAUUGACGCUGAGGUGCGAAAGCGUGGGGAGCAAACAGG
rnacentral:rRNA from 1 species